rnacentral:rRNA from 1 species
AUACGUCGGGGGCGAGCGUUGUCCGGAAUGAUUGGGCGUAAAGGGCGCGUAGGCGGCCCGGUAAGUCUGGAGUGAAAGUCCUGUUUUUAAGAUGGGAAUUGCUUUGGAUACUGUCGGGCUUGAGUGCAGGAGAGGUAAGUGGAAUUCCCAGUGUAGCGGUGAAAUGCGUAGAGAUUGGGAGGAACACCAGUGGCGAAGGCGACUUACUGGACUGUAACUGACGCUGAGGCGCGAAAGUGUGGGGAGCAAACAGGAUUAGAUACCCUGGUAGUCCACACUGUAAACGAUGAAUGCUAGGUGUAGGGGGUAUCGACCCCUUCUGUGCCGCAGUCAACACAAUAAGCAUUCCGCCUGGGGAGUACGGCCGCAAGGUUGAAACUUAAAGGAAUUGGCGGGG